rnacentral:rRNA from 1 species
UACGGAGGGUCCGAGCGUUAUCCGGAAUCAUUGGGUUUAAAGGGUCCGUAGGCGGGCCUGUAAGUCAGGGGUGAAAGUUUGUGGCUCAACCAUAAAAUUGCCUUUGAUACUGCAGGUCUUGAGUCAUGGUGGGGUUGCCGGAACAUGUGGUGUAGCGGUGAAAUGCAUAGAUAUCACAUAGAACACCGAUCGCGAAGGCAGGUGACCAACCAUGUACCGACGCUGAUGGACGAAAGCGUGGGUAGCGAACGGG